GGCCUACAACUGCAAAUUGACCUACAACUGCAAAUUGACCUACAACUGCAAAUUGACCUACAACUGCAAACUGUAAAACUGCAAAUUGGUGAUAAAAUAUUUACUGCAAAGUUUGCACAUUUUACAUGUAAAUUUUUUACAUUGCAGACUGCGAAACCAGAAAAGUUGGCAUCCAGCCUUCCGAGGCGCUACGACAGUACCGUGAGCAUUCAGGUAUCAGGGACGCAAAGCUGAUUGUGGUUGCUAUGACGUCAAAUGGUUUUACUAUCGCAGACCCCGAUGACCCUGGGAUGCUUGAUAUGGCUGGCUUUGAUUCUGCCGCUCCAGAAGUCAUGAGGGAAUUUAUACUGGGGAAUAUUUAGCGCUGACGACAAACCGUAAGUACACGUUGUGUUGCGUGUAUUCGUUUAAACAUUCUCAUAUCAUUACUAAAUCUUGCACAAAUUGGCAGCGUAUCAUUGCAUUGUUACACACAAAAUAUGUUACUAUAAUGUAGGCGUAGAAUGGAGCUAAGGCUACCAAGCAUUUCGACACAGAAUAGGAGCCAUACAGAAAGUCGAGUUUUGGUUUUGUUUAUGAUUUUGACGUAAUUGUUGCAAUGCUGUCGCCAGGGUGGACGUUCAGUUGGGUGAAUACCUCUCAUAACCGCACUGGCUAUAGGACCACAUUUAUGAUUUUGACGUAACUGUUGCAAUGCUGUCGCCAGGGUGGACGUUCAGUUGGGUGAAUACCUCUCAUAACCGCACUGGCUAUAGGACCACAUUUAUGAUUUUGACGUAAUUGUUGCAAUGCUGUCGCCAGGGUGGACGUUCAGUGGGG